AUGAGUGCUCCCCGGCUAAGCUGUGCACCUGCUCCCCACAUGCACUGCCAUCACCACCUCAGGUGCACCAGGCCAUUCGUCUCACAAAAGAACUAGCAGAUUCUCUGGCCACAGUGAACCUCCACAGCAAGCAGCUUAGGGGGCAGAGGAAAUUAGAAAGAGCUCCUGCUGUGAAACAGAGACCCAGGCAUGUCCCCGUUGCACCACUGGCUUGCUGGCUGGUCCUGGGUGGUCGGGGGCUAUGUCUCCUCUCACUGAGCCUCGGUUUUGCCAACCGGCCGCGAGCAGGCUGAACUCACUAAUUGCUGAAGUCCUGCCCCAGUAUUAAACUUUAAUGUCUUCUGGUUAGUGGCUACAUUCUAGAAGAAAAGGUUGUAUUCACCCACGUGACGGUCAUGAGUCAUGGCCACAGAGAGAUGCAGGGACAGAGCCCCGCCCUCAGCACGCCCCGUUUAAGGAGUAAGUACUCAUGACUGCGCUGGCUGAGGUUGCUCCCAGGUCCUUGAACCAGAUCGUUAGCCUGGGGGCUCUGAGGCUCCCUACCAGUUGGAAGGGACCACGAGGGUUUAAGAAAACACCAGAAGGACAGAUGGAGCAUCCGGUGUGGCAGGAUGCACACUGCACCUCAGCACUGUCAUCGGCAGCAGGGGACCUCCCAAGGGACCUGAGGGCUGGGGAGACGGUCUCCAGUGAGACGGUGGCUGUGUGUGUCUGAUCUGGCAGGUGCCGCCCGCCGGUGGGCCCACUAACUGCAACAGCUUCGCAGCCUCGAAAAUCAGUCUCUGCUGAGCAGCCAGGACAUCCUUUUAAAAUGCAAGCGGACCCUACCCCUUCCCUGCCCAGCCUCUCCCAUCGUUUCUGAUG